CGCGGCCUAUCAGCUUGUUGGUGGGGUAAUGGCCUACCAAGGCGACGACGGGUAGCCGGCCUGAGAGGGUGUCCGGCCACACUGGGACUGAGAUACGGCCCAGACUCCUACGGGAGGCAGCAGUGGGGAAUAUUGCACAAUGGGCGCAAGCCUGAUGCAGCGACGCCGCGUGGGGGAUGACGGCCUUCGGGUUGUAAACCUCUUUCAGUAGGGACGAAGCGUAAGUGACGGUACCUACAGAAGAAGCACCGGCCAACUACGUGCCAGCAGCCGCGGUAAUACGUAGGGUGCGAGCGUUGUCCGGAAUUACUGGGCGUAAAGAGCUCGUAGGUGGUUUGUCGCGCUGUUCGUGAAAUCUCACAACUCAAUUGUGAGCGUGCGGGCGAUACGGGCAGACUGGAGUACUGCAGGGGAGACUGGAAUUCCUGGUGUAGCGGUGGAAUGCGCAGAUAUCAGGAGGAACACCGGUGGCGAAGGCGGGUCUCUGGGCAGUAACUGACGCUGAGGAGCGAAAGCGUGGGGAGCGAACAGGAUUAGAUACCCUGGUAGUCCACGCCGUAAACGGUGGGUACUAGGUGUGGGUUUCCUUCCUUGGGAUCCGUGCCGUAGCUAACGCAUUAAGUACCCCGCCUGGGGA
rnacentral:rRNA from 1 species